rnacentral:rRNA from 1 species
GUGUCAGCCGCCGCGGUAAUACGGAGGAUCCAAGCGUUAUCCGGAUUUAUUGGGUUUAAAGGGUGCGUAGGCGGUUGAUUAAGUCAGCGGUGAAAGUUUGGAGCUCAACUCUAAAAUUGCCGUUGAAACUGGUUAACUUGAGUACGGUAGAGGUAUGCGGAAUGCGUGGUGUAGCGGUGAAAUGCUUAGAUAUCACGCAGAACCCCAAUUGCGAAGGCAGCAUACUGGACCGGUAACUGACGCUGAGGCACGAAAGCGUGGGGAUCAAACAGGAUUAGAAACCCUAGUAGUCC